AGUUAACAUAAAAUUACUAAAGAUAACAAACUUUAUUUUAAAGGUGAAAUUUAAUAAUAGAGGAUCUAUUUCUUUAAUUAAUUUUAAGGAACUAGAAAGUUUAGAUUUAAAACCAGGAUUAGAUACCCUGUUAUUCUAAAUGAGAGUUAAAAUAGGGUAGUAAAAGCUGUUCUUCAAACCCAAAGAUUUUGGCGGCAUUUCAUCCUAAUAGAGGAGCUUGUCCUGUAAUUGAUAAUCCUCGUUUAAUCUUACCCUUUUUUGUAGAGCUUGUAUACCGCCGUUGUCAGAUUACUUCUAAAGAAUGUUUUCAAGAAAAAUUUUUUUCUUACUUCAGGUCAAGGUGCAGUUUAUGGAAGGGCAGUGAUGAGCUACAAUUUAUACUAAAAAUACGGAUACUAGAUUUUAAUAUUGGUGGAAGGUGGAUUUAUUAGUAAGUUUACUUAAGUAUA
rnacentral:rRNA from 1 species